AAACUGUUUAAUGUUCCUAUAUUUUUCAUAAAUAGUACGAUUUCUCUAUUUCUCACAAUUAUCAAUUUCACCCACAGCUGUUGUGAUCGAUUCAAAAUGAUGAUGAAGAUUUUAUGUGUUGUACUUACUAUAUUCGCUGUAAGCAAAGUCCAAGGUCUCGGCUGUCCAAAUGGAGAACCAAUGGCCUCUUGUGGAGAUAAUCCUUGUGCGAAACCUAAUUGUCCUGCUAAUCCAAAUGCGAAUUGUGUGACGAACUUUUGUGGAAGCGAGGCCUGUCUAGCACAAUACUUUGUGAAUGGCAACCGGGUUACAUGUUAGUAUUACUACAAUGUGAGUUCAUACCUAUUACCAGAUUAAAUGUAUGAUUGUCCAUUCUACAGUUGCUUCUAAAUAAAUUGUGUUUAAUUC